rnacentral:rRNA from 1 species
GACGAACGCUGGCGGCGUGCUUAACACAUGCAAGUCGAACGGAAAGGCCCUGCUUUUGUGGGGUGCUCGAGUGGCGAACGGGUGAGUAACACGUGAGUAACCUGCCCUUGACUUUGGGAUAACUUCAGGAAACUGGGGCUAAUACCGGAUAGGAGCUCCUGCUGCAUGGUGGGGGUUGGAAAGUUUCGGCGGUUGGGGAUGGACUCGCGGGUUAUCAGCUUGUUGGUGGGGUAGGGGCUUACCAAGGCUUUGACGGGUAGCCGGCCUGAGAGGGUGACCGGCCACAUUGGGACUGAGAUACGGCCCAGACUCCUACGGGAGGCAGCAGUGGGGAAUAUUGCACAAUGGGCGGAAGCCUGAUGCAGCAACGCCGCGUGCGGGAUGACGGCCUUCGGGUUGUAAACCGCUUUCGCCUGUGACGAAGCGUGAGUGACGGUAAUGGGUAAAGAAGCACCGGCUAACUACGUG